rnacentral:tRNA from 1 species
UAGCUCAGAUGGUAAAGCAUCUGCCUGGAAUGCAGGAGACCUGGGUUCAAUCCCUG